UACGGGGGGGCAAGCGUUGUUCGGAAUUACUGGGCGUAAAGGGCUCGUAGGCGGCCAACUAAGUCAGACGUGAAAUCCCUCGGCUUAACCGGGGAACUGCGUCUGAUACUGGAUGGCUCGAGUUUGGGAGAGGGAUGCGGAAUUCCAGGUGUAGCGGUGAAAUGCGUAGAUAUCUGGAGGAACACCGGUGGCGAAGGCGGCAUCCUGGACCAACACUGACGCUGAUGAGCGAAAGUGUGGGGAGCGAACAGGA
rnacentral:rRNA from 1 species